GAUGAACGCUGGCGGCGUGCCUAAUACAUGCAAGUCGAGCGAACGGACGAGAAGCUUGCUUCUCUGAUGUUAGCGGCGGACGGGUGAGUAACACGUGGAUAACCUACCUAUCAGACUGGGAUAACUUCGGGAAACCGGAGCUAAUACCGGAUAAUAUUUUGAACCGCAUGGUUCAAACGUGAAAGACGGUCUUGCUGUCACUUAUAGCUGGAUCCGCGCUGCAUUCGCUAGUUGGUAAGGUAACGGCUUACCAAGGCAACGAUGCAUAGCCGACCUGAGAGCGAGAUCGGACACACUGGAAGUGAGACACGGUCCAGACUCCUACGGGGGGCAGCAGUAGGGAAUCUUCCGCGAUGGGCGAAAGCCUGACGGUGCAACGCCGCGGGAGUGAUGAAGGUCUUCGGAUCGUAAAACUCUGUUAUUAGUGAAGAACAUAUGUGUAAGUAACUGUGCACAUCUUGACGGUACCUAAUCAGAAAGCCACGGCUAACUACGUG
rnacentral:rRNA from 1 species